UUCUUUAUAUAUUUGGGAUCUGAACCACUUAUCAGAUAUAUGAUUUGCAAAUAUUUUCUCCCAUUCCAUGCCUUUUCACUAUUGAUUAUAUCCUUUUAUACACAGAAGUUUUACAUUUUUGAUGUAGUCCAAUUUUUAUAUUGUUUCUUUUGUUGCAUGUGCAAGAGUUUUAUUUUGAAUGCAAUUUUGGGAUAUCUAUUAGACAUCCAAGUCAAAAUGUCAAAUACACAGCUGGAUAUAUGAGUCUGAAGGUCAUAAAAGAGAUCAGAAUGAGAUAUAAAUUAAGGAAUCAUCCACAUAUAGAUGGUAUUUAAGGCCAUGGGUCUGGACAGAAUCACCCAGGAGAGAAGUCACAUAGGAACACAUAGGUUUCCCUAGGGAAUACAGUCAUCUUAGAGUAAAAUUCCAUCGAAGGAGAUCAGGAGGUCUUGGCUGAGUUAAAUUUGGAUAAUAUAAGUUAUUAACUAUGUUAAUGUGUUCUUCUAAGCUAGGUGCCAGGUUAAGGUGGAAAUUAGGAGGUCCUGGGCAAGUAUCAAUUUGCUCUGCUAUUGUAUUAUUGCAAGAAUAAUACUAACAAUAGCGCAUGACCUCAUUUCAUCCUCACAAUAGCUCUACGUGACUGAUAUUCUUGUCUUCACUUUACAGACAAAGAAACAAAAGAGAAGUAAAGUAAUUUACCCAGUUGCUAUAGUUAGCAUGUGGUAGGUCCAUAUUAGAGCCCUGGUCUGUCUGCAUGAUGGUUAAUUUUAUGAGAUAGCUAGUAAAACAUUAUUUGUGGUCGUGUCUGUGAGGAUGUGUCCAGAGAGGUUCACAAGCAUUCGAAUCACUAGACGGAGCAAAUAUGGUCUGCCCUCACCAAUGUGGUCAGGCAUUAUCCAAUCCACUGAAGGCUCCUGCUUACAUAGAACAAAAAGGCAGAGGAUGUGCCUAUAGUUCCAGCUACUUGGAAGGCUGUGGCAGGAAGAUGCUCGAGCCUAGGAGUUUGAGGCCAGCCAGGGCAACAGAGCAACACCUUUCUCUUUAAAAAUAAUUUUUUUAAGGCAUAGGAAGGGCAAAUUCUCUCGUUCUCUCUCUUCUUGAGCUGGGACAUCCAUUUUCUCCUGCCUUCAGGAAAUCAGAGCUCCUUGUUCUUGAAUCUUCCAACUCUGGGACUUACACCUUACCCUUUUCCCCUCAGUCCUUCAGACUUGUACUGAAUUACACCAUCACCUUUCCUGGUUCUCCAGUUUGCAGAUAGCAUGUCAUGGGACUUCUUAGCCUCUGUAAUCACAUAAGCCAGUUCACAUAGUAAGUCUCCUCCUAUUGAUAUAUACAUAUAUCUGUAAUCCUAUUAGUUGGGUUUCUUUGGAAAACCCUAAUACCCCUUUAUCCACAGUUUUGUUUUCUGCAGUUUCAGUUACCUACGGCCAACUGGGUAAACCAAAUAGGUUCCUCAUUUCCAUCUGAGACCUCGUCAACCACGCCUUCACUUUCCAUAUCACCAUCAGCAUUCUGGUUACAACCAUUUGACCAGCCAAGCACUAUUCUAACUUCUGGGAAUACAGAAGUGCUCCUCAUGGAACUUAACAGUCUAGUGGAGGAAGAAGGACAAUAAAUGCAACAAAGAAGUAAAUUAGUCAGGAUGUCAGAGAGUGAGAUGAUAUUUAAACCAUGAGACUGAAUUUUUUUAAAAAGGAAGAGGACCGAAGACUAAGUUCUGGGCGCUCCAAUUUUAGGCAGUAGCGGAGAUGAAGAAAAACCAGCACACUAGAUGGUUAAAGAGCAGCCAACAAGAUGCUCGUUACAAUUAUUUUUUAACUUCUUAAAAUAUCUCAUUGAGGAUUCCAUUCUAAGAUGGCCGAAUAGGAAUAGCUCUGGUCUGCAGCUCCCAGUGUGAUCGGCGCAGAAGACGGGUGAUUUCUGCAUUUCCAACUGAGGUACCAGUUGAAUGAAGAGAAGCACACCUCCUCCCCAGAACAGUACUGCAGCUAUGAUAUAACGCCUGGGCAGGGUUCGCAAUAGCAGCCAGGCUGUAAUGUAAGCUGGAAUUUCAAUCAAAGCAGAGAGGAAACAGUUCAGGUAGGCAUCUCCAUGUAAAUUAGGAGUAUCCAGAGACAGAGCAAAGUAACCCACUGAGGUCAGCAUCCUGAAAGAAAAAGGGAUGUUGUGAAUUGCUCUAAAAUUUUAUGAUGGUCAAGAAAUUCUCUAUAUCUUGCUGUCCUAUAAGUAGCCACAACCUUGUUGGCUACUUAAAUUUAAAUAAAUUAAAAUUAAAUAAAACCACAAAUUCAGUUCCUUAGUUAUGCUAGCCACACUUCAAGUGCUCAAUAGCCACGUGUAACUAGUGGCUACUAUAUUGAACAACACAGAUAUGAAACAUUUCCGUCACUGCAGAAGGUUCUAUUGGAUAGUGCUAGUCUAUAUAUACCAAUAUUCAACAAUAACUUUUCUCAGGUAGUUGAUUUCAAGUUUUCCUAUUUCCUGAAUUGUUUGUACCUCCUCAGUCUCUUAGAGCUAUUAUUUGAAGAAAAAAUAUUAGUCACAUCAGUGAACAUAAAAUCCAGAUUUCAUUCUUUAACAAAAAAGAGAUACAAGGGUCAUACUGUGGGAUUCACUUAGAAUAAAUUCCAAUUCUCUUUAGGGAAAAGAGUGAAUGUCCCCUAAGGCUUCAAAUUAUCACAGAGUGCAGCCUGUAUAUUCUGUCAUUAUAGUUAACUUUCAUGUAGAAGCUUCUCUGUGGGCCGUGUGUGGUGGCUCAUGCCUGAAAUCCCAGCACUUUGGGAGA